AACGUAGGUGGCAAGCGUUGUCCGGAUUUACUGGGUGUAAAGGGAGCGCAGGCGGAUCUGCAAGUCGAGUGUGAAAUCCAUGGGCUCAACCCAUGAACUGCGCUCGAUACUGUGGGUCUUGAGUGGAGUAGGGGCAGGCGGAAUUCCCGGUGUAGCGGUGAAAUGCGUAGAGAUCGGGAGGAACACCAGUGGCGAAGGCGGGUAACUGGACUGCAACUGACGCUGAGGCGCGAAAGUGUGGGGAGCAAACAGGAUUAGAUA
rnacentral:rRNA from 1 species